rnacentral:rRNA from 1 species
UACGAAGGGGGGCUAGCGUUGUUCGGAAUCACUGGGGCGUAAAGCGCACGUAGGCGGAUCUUUAAGUCAGGGGUGAAAUCCCGAGGCUCAACCUCGGGAACUGCCUUUGAUACUGGGGGAUCUCGAGUCCGGGGAGAGGUGAGUGGAACUGCGAGUGUAGAGGUGAAAUUCGUAGAUAUUCGCAAGAACACCAGUGGCGAAGGCGGCUCACUGGCCCGGGUACUGGACGCUGAGGUGCGAAAGCGUGGGGAGCAAACAGGG